GAGGGAGCGGUGUAGUGGUUUGAGCAUUGGGCUACGACUCUGGAGACCAGGGUUCGAUUCCCAGCUCGGUCA